UACGUAGGGUCCAAGCGUUAAUCGGAAUUACUGGGCGUAAAGCGUGCGCAGGCGGUUCGUUAAGUCAGCUGUGAAAGCCCCGGGCUCAACCUGGGAAUGGCGGUUGAAACUGGCGAACUUGAAUCUGGCAGAGGGGGGUGGAAUUCCACGUGUAGCAGUGAAAUGCGUAGAGAUGUGGAGGAACACCGAUGGCGAAGGCAGCCCCCUGGGCUGAGAUUGACGCUCAGGCACGAAAGCGUGGGAGCAAACAGG
rnacentral:rRNA from 1 species